UUUCUUUCUCUGUCUCUUUCUAUAACACUAUUUUCAGAUUGCUGCUGCCUAUAUUAACUAUUACCGUGUGCGGACACGCUGUAUAGAAAAAUUAAAUGAACGGAUUUUCUGCUUCGUAACGUCGAUCGGUUGUGAUUCGAUCAAAUCAAUUCGACGCGGACCGUUUCGGCGUUUAGUUAUAAUUCAUUCGUAAAUCGAAUUGGAUUAGCGGAUUUUGUGUCGUGUCAGACAAACUUAACGGAACCACCAGUGUGUAGUAAAAGGAUUUUAUAAGAUGAUCUUUUAAUUAAUUUAAUUUAAAAUUUAAAAUUAAUAUAUUACAAAGAAAAUAAGAUAUUUCAAUUUAUUAUUUAUAUAUUUCUGUAAAAUGAAUGGUAAAAUAGAGUUUAGAAUUGAUAUUAAAAUGUCAAACUUUUCGAAAAUCCAGUAUUACAUAUAUAUAUUAUAUGAUUUUAAUGAUCUUACCCUUGUUGUACCAACAAGUUUCAUCUCACAAUAACUUUCACUAUACCAUCGAACAGAAGUAUCACUUUAGUAUCUAGUUAUUAUCAUUAGAUUUUCUUAUACGACAAAAACUGUCCUUAUUCGGUAUACCAUCGAUCGAUGUCAAUUUUGCUCGCCACGUAGCGCAUCAGUCGCGCAACGGUUAGGUCUCGAUAAAUUUAAUUGUGCGCUCGCUCGCGAAUCGAUACAUCAUGUAUAUUUAUUACUGGCGUCGCGUGCGUGUAAUUUAGCAAUCGUUCGAUCGCGAUCGUAUAUAAACGGCGUGAAACUCAUCGAGAAGAGCACAUUUCAAGUCACCGGUUAAAGGACCGUCGCGAUUAAGAAUCAGAACUUGAUGCUCAAGGGUUAAGCAAAUUGUUUCUUAAACGAGGCGUUUCUUAGGCAAACUGUCAGAGGGCGCUAGAAAUGUUUCGGUGUGCCAUAAGAUUUAUCGCGCACUCUACGCGCAAUUAAAGAAACGUAUAGAGGGGAGUGAGGGAACACGAACGGGUGCUAGUAACUAAUUCUAGACAGUAUUCUAAAUGCCGAGCGAGAAGUUUUUCGCUUGAUUCUGGAAAUGUCACGUUCCAGCGAUGUUGCAUCUGCGAGCAGAACGAAAUUCUCUGAGUGCCGGUGUGCGAGCAUAGAAACGUGGCUUAAUCGACCAUUGGUCCGGCUAAGUUCGCCACGUGCGUAAAUCACCGCGGAAUCGUUAAUUAACCGGUAGAACGAACGAGCUUUCUGGAAAAUGUCAGCGACCAAGGAGGUUACACAUUGAAUGGACGUUACAUGCAUGCGCGCGCACAUAUCGGAUUGUUGACAGGUACAAAAAGACAUUUCGGCACGAGCGAUCUGCGCGCGCAGGGGAGUCAACGUCUAAUCGAGAGACGUAAUUUGUCGCGAUCUCCGUUGGCGUUAAUUUAUCACGCUUCGAGGAAUUCACGAGUCGGCCGGUCGUGUACAUGCGCGCCCAGAUUAAGCGACGUGGAUAAGGCAGCCUAUUAGCAUCGGUUCAAAUGAGAUUUCCGAAGUAUGUUCGCCGCUGAUCGACUUAUUGUGACCUGCAUGCGCUUUGCAUACAUUUGCGUGCGUCGCGCACGCGCGCGUGCUCGCCUGUCGCCUGUUGCGAUAACAGAAUUUUUAAUGAUUCUACCGCGCACUGUGAUCGAGUUCCCUUUAUAACGCGGAAUGAAUUUGAAAAUUAUUCCAUCAAGAUCUUCAUAUAAAAUCUUAGUUUUUAAUGAGAAAUAAGAUUUUUAUAAGGUUAAAAUUCAGAAAAACAGAAGAGACAAAAUUUAAAAUUGGAUUAUGGAAAUUUCAAUUGAAAAAUCAAAAAAGCAAUGAGAUUCUUAAUCAUUUACAUCAAAUAAACUUAUGUUGACAAAUAAUAAUAUUAAAAAUUUAAAUUUAAUCACAGUGAAUAAAUAAAUAUGAAAAGAGUUAAAUUUAAACAGUCUCAAAAUCGAAGCAUUUACUCAUUCACACGUACAAGUACAAAACAGUGUUGUGACUUAUUUAUUAUCAUAAAAUAAUUAAUUAUUUCAAUUUUUUACUAUUUUCUUCCAAAUAAAAUUUAAAAUAAUUUAAAAAAUGUUUUAGAAAGUCACCGACAAAAAAAAUCAUUAACUUAAUCGCUUAAUAUCUUCCAAAGUUCUCUAAGAUCUCUAUCAUCUUUAUCAAAGUUACAAACACUUUCUCUUCACCAUACAUCGAAUCUCACACCGACGCUGAGAAGGAUUACGAUCAGAAGACGACGAAACAACGGCUCGAUAACUGAUCCAACAAGGGCUAAAGUGUUUCCAAUCCGUGAGCGGCUCGCUUUUGACCGAAACAUUGAAAUUAAUGAAGUCGUCUGACUAGAGCCGAGAGCAGGGUAAAUUAGAGGUACACGGCAACCAUUAGAAUACUUAACGAGGACGUCAUGGUGGGAAGCAGUGCGCGGGUGUGAUGAUGAAUCACUGCCGGCUAGCUCACCGCGGAGCGCGCCCAGGAAUAUUAAAUUAAGUUUACUUAUUGUCGGCCAAAAAGUCUAAGCCGCCAUCCCUUCUUCAUCCAUGUUGGUUCCUCUUCGUUCUUCCAACGACGUUCGGAUGAUUUCACUGUUUCCUCGAAACAUACGGAAGCAAAUGGACGAAUCCGACCGCAACGAGGAUAUUCGUUAUUCCUCGAUGACAUGGGUACACGUAUAUGCAAAAAGUGCAAAGAUGAAAGUUAUAGAAAUUCUUCUCUUAUUAUUAUGUUAUUUUAAUUACCAUUUACAACUUGGAAGGAGUAAUUUCAUGUGGUUUAAAGUGGACAUAAUUACAGAAUAUUAUUAUGAUUUAUUCAAUGCAAUUUUGAUUUGUUCUUAAAUAAUUCAUUGGCUAUGAUCAUAUUGUAUCCAUUAAGUUGCAAAACGAACCUAUAUCUUGUCAGAUAAUGCCAUCUCCGCCACACAGAAGAAUAUAAUUCCUAAUUCAAAACGUCAUUCUAAUGGAUUCGAAUAAGGCGGUAACAAAUUCACGACGUAAAUCCUCCAAACCUAAGUAAUUCCCCCAAUCACGGGGUAAUUUAUCAGAAGAAAUCAGAAUCCCAAAGAAAUUCUCUUCCUUUCACGAGCCACCCGUACAAAGACAAGCGACAAAGGAGAAUUCCAUUGAAUCUCGACGUGAACGUCCUGAGAGCUUUUACCUCUCCGCGUCAACCCUGCUCGCUGUCGCGAUGAAAAGUACGCGUAUCGCAAAAAAGGGCAGCGGUGAGGUUCGCCGCUCCUGAAGAAGAAGAAGAAGAAGAAGAAGGAAAAGAAGGAGGAGAAGAAGAACCGAAGAGGUAAGAAGAAACUUGGGGCGACAAAAAUGGACUUUACAGGGAGAUCUAGAGAGACUUCGCUACCAUCCUUUUUUUUCCUCCCUAUAUUCUUUUUCCAAUUGUCCUUUUUUUUCCCUCCCUUUCUUCUCUCUCUUUCUCUCUCAUUUCUUUCUUUUCGUUUUCUCUUUUUCUUUACCCACUACCUCCCUCUUCGAGGCCCAAGCCGUUCGGGUUAGCGUCUCCUCCGGAGUUGAAAUAUACAAAAUGAAAUAUGAAAUAAUGGUUCGUGCCUUGUGGCUGGCUAAAGGCACGGGCGCACCCAUAUCUACGCCCCCAUGCGCCUAUGUACCUAUACGGCCCGGUAUACGCCGAUCCCGUGUACAUAUGUACGCGCACACCAUAUACAUCCGCCUCGCUCAAGUUUUUCGUUCUUGUCGUGAACAUCUUACGUUCGUAUUAACCCUUAUCCAUGCUUAAUGAUAUUCCGGCCUACUAUGCCCGGACGGGCAUAUUGAACGCAACUAAGGCAGAUUCCAGUCGAACGAGGACGGCCGGCCAAGCCCUCCUGUUGUAAUUCGUAUCUGCGUUCAACCAUUUUUCCGCUUCCUCCAACCAACCAAAGAGGACCGAAGACGACCACGACGACGUCUGGCGGGCAAUUAGGGACCAGACUCGUAGCAUGAAUUAAAGAGUAUCGAUGGACAAACGGGCGUUCGUCCUUAUCGAUCCUCGAAAUAACGCCGCCAAGAUACUUUUUGCUUCUUUAGUGGCACCGAGAUUGGAUUGGUUGUAUGUAGGAAUAAGUGAAUGCGGAUCUUAGGUGGAAGAAUUUAUAGGUUCGCGGUGAAAGAUUGGAUUCGAUUGGUGUAGCGUUUGGGUACGUAUCUGUGUAUGUUAUAGGUAAGAUGGAGUUAUUGCCUUUUUGUGAUUGGUCGAUAUGGAUGAUUGGUUAUAUGGAGUUGUAUAGAUAAGAUAGAUUGUGGACAUUUGUUUUUUUUUUUUUGGGCUUGAUUUCGUUUUUUGUUUUUAUAGAUCUUUGGAUGAAAGUAGAUUGUAUUUAUUUUUUUCGUACUAUCGAUUUUCGGAAUUGUUGAAUUAAUUUUGGUUAGUUUUUAAGAUUUUUGAACGAAGAUAGAUUGUAGAUUUGUGUGUAGUUUGAUGUGAUGGUUUUUAGAGGUUGAUAAAAUUAUUGAUUAUUAGUCGGAUCAAAAGGCGCGAAAUUUGAAGUUUUUUUUUUUUUUUUUUUUUUAAGAAGAGAGAUUAAUUGGUGUGAUGAAAUUAAUACGUUGUUUGCUACUUCGAAACUAAUAUAUAGUAUAUUAUUAUAUCCAACAUUUAUUGUGUAAUCAUUUGAAAAUGCAAAUGUGUAUUUUUAAUAUGUGCAAUAUACGCUUCAUCCUUUUCCUGUUUAUUUCAAUUA